rnacentral:rRNA from 1 species
UACAGAGGCCCCAAGCGUUACUGAGAAUCACUGGGUUUAAAGGGUGCGUAGGUGGCGCGUUAAGUCCGUUGUGAAAGCCCUGGGCUCAACCCAGGAACUGCUUCGGAUACUGGCGCGCUUGAGGCUAGUAGGGGUCACUGGAACUGACGGUGGAGCGGUGAAAUGCGUAGAUAUCGUCAGGAACGCCAAUGGUGAAGACAGGUGACUGGGCUAGUUCUGACACUGAGGCACGAAGGCGUGGGGAGCGAACGGG